GGUGUCGUGGCCGAGUGGUUAUGGCGGCAGUCUAGAAAGCUGCUAGGCUUGUCCUGCACAGGUUCGAAUCCUGUCGACAUCG
rfam:Enterocytozoon bieneusi H348 ctg01_567, whole genome shotgun sequence.